UGUCUUUUCAAGUACAGCUUGGGAUUCCCUUCCAUUCCAUCUCAGACCUAAGUUAAAAGCAAUUGUACGUUUGUUGUUAACAUCCAGGGCUGAAUCGACAAUAAAGAAGUACGUAGCUGAAAUUAAGAAAUUUUUGAAAUGGUUCCGAGAUAACAAAAUUGUUCCAAGUUUGCCGUUAUCUACAGCAGUCGUAGCCGUGUAUUUGUCUGACUUAUUGACACAACAACACGAUCCUGCGUCAGGACUAGCGAUAAUGUAUGCCGCCUUGAAGUGGUUCCGCAAGCGUUUAUACCUGC